CUGCAAGACGCUUGGUGCUCGCCCGGCCUCGAAGGCUCACUCAUGACAGAGGCAUCCAUGUACCCCUGGGACACGUCACGGGGUGUGUCCAGCACCAGGAAAGGAUCUGCCUUUUUGUGUUUCCCUCCCCUGAGGCAGGGCAGGAGUCGGGCAGGGACUCGCUGGACUGUGAGGAGAAGCAGUGUGUCCUCACCUUUCCACCUUCCUCUGGCCACAGCUUUAGCUGCUGAAUGAUAACAAGGCUGCCUGCCGAUCUCAUAAGAGGGCAUCUUGGGCAAGGCAAGGAGAAAGGGCUUUGGAGUCUUGAGUUCAAAUCCCGGCUCCCCCAGCUGCUGUGCAACCGUGAUGUAUGACAGCCUCUCUGGGCCUCAGUGUUUGUAUCUGCAAGAUGAGGCUCUGACAUAGACCUGAUUAGGUUAUGGUGAGGAUUACACAAUCCCUGCUUGAAAGGCACCUGGCUUGUUCUGAGUAAACCCUGUGACUCCCUUUAAUUCCUGGUGGGUGGCUUGCUUGUGCCCUCAUGAGGUUCAGCACUUGGCAGUACCCUGUCACCUGUUCAUCAUUAGCAAUGACGGACGCAAUGCUUCCUCUGUGACAAAGCCUCAUCCGACAGAGCAGGACUGCAGGGCUUCUCCAGGGCUUGGGGAGGGGGACAAGGGCAGUGCGCACAGUUCCUUUUUGUUUGCUGAUGCCACACUAGGCACGUGAAAGGGCUGGGUCAGAGAACCCAGCUUGGCCCACGCUGUCUCGGUUGGUGGCCGUCCUCACCUUCCUCACCCUUCAGAUCCCGUAGGGAGCCCCUGCGGUGGUGCCAUGGACGGGAAGCAUCCCACCGUGCUUGUGGCUCACCUCGAGGUCCAGGUGUCACUGCAUGGCCUGAAAAGGACUGUCUCCGAGCAGAACAAGCUCAUGACCAAGAACAAAGAGGACAUCUUGACCGUGUAAGUAAUGAUGACCGCUCUGUCCCCAGCUCAUAGGGACCCUGAGGACUCCAGGUUGCCUCCCUAUGUUGGCUCCUGAUUCAAGCAGAUGGCAGGGGGGUGUGUCCCAAGGAGCUGGGUGCUGAUGUCAGGAGCCCAGCACCCUUGUGGAAGCCAAGAACGACACUGAGGGGGCAAGAAGAGACUGUGAUGAGCUAAGUGAUGGUGUUGUCCCCAGCACGCAACAAGGGCUGGUGCGGCAACUGGCGACCUGAGAGGGAGGGCUGGUCCCAGCAGGGAGGUGUUCAUAGAAGGGAGAGAUUUUCGGUGAGGAGUGGCAGCACAGUCAUUCUCAACCCAGUGUGUCUUGGGAGAUGCCUAUGGGGUGGAAGUUGGAUGAUCAGGCUGUUAUUGGGUCAAUCUGAUUCAAGGAGAGGGAGGAGAGGUGACGUGGCCAGAAGGAGGGCAGGAGGGUGGACAGCAGAGAAUGCAGCCGGCCACCCGGGCCAUCCCCCUUGCCUCCACUCACUCAUCCUUUCCCACCCCUGGGCCGAGGAUGCGUCUCAUUAGGUAGUUUUCAGAUGGGUAAACUGAGGCAGGAGCCAUUCCAGGCCCAGAGAGGAGAGCCAGGAAGGCACGUGUUGUAAUCCCUGGGUUAGUUUUUCAUUCACACACAGGGGAACCUCUCCAGCCCUGCCACUCACUAGUUUUAAGAGGCUCAAGUGUUCUGAUUCCUGGCAGCAGCAACGUGGUAAUGCUUCUUUCUUGUUCCCUCCCUGAUCCCUUCUUCCCUCAUGCUUGAGGGCUUGGCCCCGCUUUUCUCCAUGUAUUUCCACCAGGGUGCCACACUGCCUGGAAUUGCAACCGCUGGGGCCUUGUCCAGUUUAUUAUCUCUCACCACAGGUGCAGGAAGGAGGCAGGGAGCAGGGCUGUGUCGCAGAGCAAGGCCAGGGCAUCCCACCCCACCAUGGCCGCCCAUCCCCAUGGCCUCCCUCAAGAUCAGGAAACUGCUCCACAUUGCAGUAACUAAGUGCACCAGGCGUGGCUGCUGGUGAGGGGUGGUCAGGCAGCACCUGUGGCCAGCCUAAAGGAAGGUCAAGGUUUGUGAAGGCAUCUGGUGCCUCCCCUGUUGAAAUUUCUUUUUCUCCUCCUUAUUAGUUGAAUCUUAAGAAUUGACAGUACCAUAAAACGUGAAACCUUUAUUUCUGCUUUUUAAAUGGAAAACCGGGCUGGGCACAGCGGCUCAUGCCUAUAAUCCCAGCACUUUGGGAGGCUGAGGUGGGCAGAUCGGCUGAGGUCAGGAGUUCAAGAUCAGCCUGGCCAACAUGGUGAAACCCCAUCUCUACUAAAAAUACAAAAAUUAGCCAGGCAUGGUGGCACAUGCCUGUAACCCCAGCUACUCAGGAGGCUGAGGCAGGAGAAUCGCUUAAACCCAGGAGGCGGAGGUUGCAGUGAGACGAGAUUGCGCCAUUGCACUCCAGCCUGGGUGGCAGAGUGAGACUCCACCUCAAAAAAAAGAAAAAAGGAAAACCAAGCAAAAGUCACUGUCAGGGGACCUCCCACCCACCAUACAGGGGAACACUCGGCAGAGCCAGAGGCCUGGGCCCAAGUCCUGCCACCAGCUGGCUGUGAAACUGUGGUACAGCACCUUGUGUCCUGCCACCAGCCGGCUGUGAAACUGGUACAGCACCUUGUCCUCAGGUCCUUGGUUUCCUCACUUGUAAAUUCAUGGUUCUCCAUGGCAUCUCUGGUCUUCAACAUUAUUUUGCAUAGAGUCUCAGAAGCUUUAGUGUGAGCGGAUGAUAUGGGCACGAAGCAAGGCACCCAGAAGUGGGGGCAACUACUCUGCUUUCUAAAAUGCAAGGGAACCGGAAAAUCCAGGAGCCGUGCCAAAGUGAGUGAGUAUUUUCUUGGGCCACCAAAGGGGUCUGAACUGGUGUGGCUUGAGCUCAGUUUUUGUGGUUCAGAUAGAUUUGAAAACUCACUUCUCCCCAUUAAGCACUGGAAGGAAUUAGUCACCCUUCUUUGUGGAAGUGGAGAGAUUCUCCGAGAGCUACUCAACAGGCUCCUUUGAAAGGUUCUCAGGACCAGCACUGUGCUGAGUGUGUGUGUGUGUGUGUGUGUGUGUGUGUGUGUGUGUGUGUGUGAAAGAGAGAGAGAGAGAAACAGAGAAUGUGAAGGUAUGUGAGGGACAGAGGGAGGAGUGAGAGAGAGACACAGAGGGAAACAGAGAGAGAUGGAGAGAUGGAGGGUGAGUGAGACAGAGAGAUAUACAGUGAGGGAGAUGGAGAGAGAAAUGAAGAGACAGAAAGAGAAAGAGAAAGGAGAGGGAGAAUGAGUGUGGAUAGGGUGGAGGGAACAAAAAGAUUAAGAUACAGUCACCAACCUCUAGGGUUUACCAUCAUGCCAACAAAUAUAGCAAUGUUCCUGGGUAGAAUAGGGCCAUGACAAAGGAGGAUAAUGGAAAGGGUGGUUAAUUCUGGCCAGAAGAACCCCAGAAGACUUCCUGGAGGAGGUGGCAUUUGGCUAGUGUUUUCCAUUCAGGGUGAGCUGGGUAUCUGUGGGUAAGAGCUUCAGAGCAGAGGGAACAGCAGCUGCAGAGAUAGGACGCUGGCUGCUGUCUGUCUCUAAGCCUUGGGCUCCUGGGCCAGGCCUUCUUUAUGCUCAUUCCUUCACAGGUGGAGCAAGACCCUCAGUCCCCCCGACUCCCCACCCCUCACCACCCGGGCUCAGCUGGGGCUCCCCCUCCUCUCUAGAGGCCACACUGGGGAAGUUGCCCUCAGUCUGCAGGCAGCUAUGAGAGGAGUUUCACUUCACUCAGCAAAAUCUUUUCUUAGAACCACAGUUGGCUUUUACAAAAUUUUCUGGCCACAUGAAAGCCAAGCAGCCAGUUUUCAAAAGGCUUUCGAUGGCUGAGAAGGAAUGUUCAAGGAAGGCUGUUGUAUCACGGACGAGACUCUUUCCAUGCUUAUGGUUUGAAUGUUUGCUCCCUCCCAAACUCUUGUGGAAACUCAAGCCCCAGUGUGGCAGGAUGGAGAGGUGGGACCCAAGAGGUGAUUGGGUCGGCCGGGCGCGGUGGCUCACGCCUAUAAUCCCAGCACUUUGGGAGGCCAAGGCGGGCGGAUCAUGAGGUCAGGAGAUCGAGACCAUCCUGACUAACACGGUGAAACCCCGUCUCUACUAAAAAUACAAAAAAUUAGCUGGGCGUGGUGGCAUGUGCCUGUGGUCCCAGCUACUCGGGAGACUGAGGCAGGAGAAUCACUUGAACCCGGGAGGCGGGGUUUGCAGUGAGCCGAGAUUGCACCACUGCACUCCAGCCUGGGCGACAGAGCAAGACUCCGUCUCCAAAAAAAAAAAAAAAAAAAAGAGGUGAAUGUGUCAUGAGGGCUCUCUGCCCUCAUGAGUGGAUUAAUCCAUUCAUAGAUUAAUGGAUUAAUGAAUUAAAGGGUUGUUUUGGGAGUGGCUGGCUUUAUGACAGGAAGAGAGGCCUGUGCCUGCCCAGUGAGCUCUCUCCCCACAAGAUGCCCUGUGCUGUCAUGAGACUCUGCAGUGUCCCUACCAGCAGGAAGGCUCUCCCCAAAUGCAGCCCCUUGACCCUGGACUUCCCAGCCUCCAGAACUGUAAGAAAGACAUUUCAUUUCUUCUAAAUUACCCAGUCUCCAGUAUUCUGUUAUAAACAAUAGAAAAAGGACUAGGACGCCAUCUUUAUGUCUUUUUACGGUUGGGAUGGGGAGGGAAGUGGUGAGGAGGAGACCAAAGUUGGAGAUACCUGUGAACAAAGUGACAUCCUUGAGGGAGUGAGCCCCCUUCACCAGUGGUGUACAUUCUGCCACCCACUCAUGUUUUAUUCAUCUGGCUUCCACCAUCUUCCUUUGCCAGCCACAGUGUUAUGAGUGCUGAGGGACAGAGCGGGGAGAUGAGGAUUCCAAGAAUGAAUAGAUGAGAAGAGGAACAAAUGGAGGAACAUCCCAGUCAAGUGACAUUCCUAGUGACAUUCACCAGAACAGAGUCAAGCUUUGGAUCCCAUGUUCUGUGACUUCCUCUUCACCACGCUUCCUCCACACACGUAGCAGCUCAAGGGUUUCUGAUGAGUGGGAGGCUUGACUAGAAUUGAAUUCGAGACAAGCACAAAGAUCAUGAUGCAAAUGAAAGGGACAGAGGGGAGAGAAACAGAAAACAAAGCAUUGCACCCAGUGGAGAAGCAUGUGUGGCCAGGGAGCUGCAUGAAGGUGAAAUCAGAACCUGUCCUUGGAGCACUCCUGGAAGUAUGAGCAGGGGUGCAGUCAGGACGGCCUGACUCUCUGACCCUGUGACUGAGCCACAGGGGUCUCUUCUAUGCUUCACUGUGCUUCUUCAAUCUUGCCAUCACUGUGUUGAAAAAGCAUCCCUGGGCAUUUGUGGUGAAGCCAUUGGCAGAGCAUCAACAGUCUUUCCAAUGUACCAGUCCCACAGGGACCAGCCCCGGCUCCUUUACUUGGUUCAUCAUCCCACAAAAAAGGCUCCAGAGUGAUGAGUGGAGGGAAUGUGUAUACAAGCUGGGAGAUGCUUCAGGGAUGGGGCAUGACUCUGAGAAGCUCCACAUGCAAAACAGGGUUAUGAUGGUCUAGGAGCCAGCUGCAGGGAGGUGGGCAGCCAGGAGGUGGGCUGGGGCUAUCAGGGGAGUGACUGACUGCAAGGGCAGGCUCAAGGUGAAACUUUGAGAGGCAGAUCCCAAGGCCCUUGGAUCUGGCCUGUUACAGCAAAUGGAGGAGUAAGGCAGAAAAGUCCUCUAGGGCUGUCUUCUACUCUCUCCUCCAACAGAUUUUCACUGAGCAUUUGCCAUGAGCCAGACUCUGUUAGCUGUUGAGGUUUCAAGGGAAGGUAGAAAAGACAGAAGCAAACCAAUGAUAAAGAUAUCUAUUGUCUUUUAGUGACUUUCAUACACGCUCCCUCUCUUUUUUAUUCUGUGCAUCUCAUUAUCUAAGGGCUCGUUUUGUACCAAAUGCUUUUAUACAUCAUCUCAUUCAAAUCUCUCUGAGGUUGGAAAUGCUAUUUUUGUUUUACAGCUGUAAAAACUAAGGCCAGAGAGGGAAAGUGAGUGACCCAGGGCCCCACAGCUAGACAGAUUCAAAUCCAUGGGGUCUAUCUUAGUGACAAAGCUGGCACAUUUCUUCCCCUCCUUGUGCCUGCUGAGGUUUUUUUGUUUUGUUUUGUUUUGUUUUUUGUUUGUUUGUUUUGGCUUUUAACAUUUUACAAUAUUUUGCUAUUUUUUCCUAAUCAGGCAAUAUACAUAAAUAUUUUAACAAUCAACUAGUUUAAGAUUUAUGAAAAACAGCGUUUUCUUGCCCACCUUCUCCCAAUUCUUCCUGCUCCCCAGAGGCAGCCACUUCCAAAUGUUAGCCAGUUCAAUUCUACAUGUAAUAGGAGAACGGCAAUUUUUAUUGAUGUGUUGAUUUGAGACAUUUGGCAUCUUCCGGUGAUGAAGUUUUGUCUCUCUCUACUGGACACCAUCUGCCUCUUCCAGAUGUAUUCUUCUCACCCUGGGCAUUCUCCCAAGAGGCUGACCUGUAGGAACGCAGUGAACAGGCUACCUGAUCACUGGCUUCUGGGUUGGGUGUGGCUCAUGAGAGACAUUGGCAGGAGACUGGAUUGGAGGAAGAUGCAGGGGCCAGAGUGUUUACUCUCCUAGAUAAGCCCCUUCCUCCUCUUCUGGCAGGCAGUGCUCUCCAUAUAGCCGCUCUCUUAGGUUCUAGAAAUUGCUCCUACCUUGCCCUUGAGCUCUCAUGCCUAGAGGUGGCAAUGACUGCCUGCUACUGUCAGUGCUAGGUACUGCACUCUGUUUUCCUAAACCCUUUUCACACUUUUAUGAAUAGUCUAUUCAUUACAAUUAGAUACAACUUACCCCCACACCAUCCCCAUACAACUAUACACUCCCCUUCCAGUAUCCUCUCAAUAUAAUUAUAUCAUAUUUGUUGACAUCAUUAGUUGGACAGUAUUUACAUUAUUAAACUAUAUAAAUAUUGCUGACUACAUAGCCAAGUAGAGAGUUAUCAGUCGUGAUUGCAUUUCCUUUUCUAAACUAAUUUUUGUUUUUCCUGCGUUUAACUGCCCAUUUUAAAAAAAGACUUAGUUUUCAAUACAUAGGUCUUUAAUUCUUUCCACACACACCAUCAGACAUGUUAAAUGCAUGUACAUGUUGUUUUCCUGUUUCAAACAUUGUAAAUUCUCUGUAUCUUUUUCUUUGGGUGGGGGGCAAGUGUGAAGUAAACCAGCCUCCAGAAUAAAUAGAACUCAGUGUUAUGGAUUCUAAAAUUAAAAUCUUAACAAAUUAACAAAGUGAUGAAAACAGGAAGUUUAGCUCUCAAGGAUCCUUUAUUGGUCUUAAAGGUUUUACUCUCUUUGGCAAAUAUUGUGACCACUUUAUAGAUGCUACAUAUUCUACUAGACAAAUACUAUGACCUCUUUCAAAGUGUAUCAUCAUUCCCCUUUUAAAUAGCACAUUCGAAGUGUGCUGACUUUUAGUUCUAGGGUCUGCCUUCCCCUUACCUGCUGAGUGUCACAGGAUCUCUUCCCUCCUUGAUUAUCUCAAGGAGAUACAUCAACUUUUGGUUCAUAAAAGAAAGUCAGUCGCUUUUAUUUGUUAAAGACUUGAAGUAUGGGCUGGGCGUGGUGGCUCACGCCUGUAAUCCCAG
rnacentral:lncRNA from 10 species